UGGGGAAUAUUGCACAAUGGGCGCAAGCCUGAUGCAGCAACGCCGCGUGAACGAUGAAGGUCUUCGGAUCGUAAAGUUCUGUUGCAGGGGAAGAUAAUGACGGUACCCUGUGAGGAAGCCCCGGCUAACUACGUGCCAGCAGCCGCGGUAAUACGUAGGGGGCUAGCGUUAUCCGGAUUUACUGGGCGUAAAGGGUGCGUAGGUGGUCUUUCAAGUCGGUGGUUAAAGGCUACGGCUCAACCGUAGUUAGCCUCCGAAACUGGAAGACUUGAGUGCAGGAGAGGAAAGUGGAAUUUCCAGUGUAGCGGUGAAAUGCGUAGAUAUUGGGAGGAACACCAGUAGCGAAGGCGGCUUUCUGGACUGCAACUGACACUGAGGCACGAAAGCGUGGGUAGCAAACAGG
rnacentral:rRNA from 1 species